AGUGAACGCUGGCGGUAGGCCUAACACAUGCAAGUCGAACGGCAGCACAGUAAGAGCUUGCUCUUACGGGUGGCGAGUGGCGGACGGGUGAGGAAUACAUCGGACUCUACUUUUUCGUGGGGGAUAACGUAGGGAAACUUACGCUAAUACCGCAUACGACCUACGGGUGAAAGCAGGGGAUCUUCGGACCUUGCGCGAUUGAAUGAGCCGAUGUCGGAUUAGCUAGUUGGCGGGGUAAAGGCCCACCAAGGCGACGAUCCGUAGCUGGUCUGAGAGGAUGAUCAGCCACACGGGAACUGAGACACGGUCCAGACGCCUACGGGAGGCAGCAGUGGGGAAUAUUGGACAAUGGGCGCAAGCCUGAUCCAGCCAUACCGCGUGGGUGAAGAAGACCUUCGGGUUGUAAAGCCCUUUUGUUGGGAAAGAAAAGCAGCAGGUUAAUACCCCGCUGUUCUGACGGUACCCAAAGAAUAAGCACCGGCUAACUUCGUG
rnacentral:rRNA from 1 species